UCAUCGAGUCCAACUCCUGGCUCCACACAAAAUACCACCCAAAAAUCAGACCAUCUUCCUUCUUUUCCCCUCUAUGAGACCAAAACAUCUGCCUCCAAUCUGGUCAACAUGGGCUCUCCAACCUCCAGUGGGAUUUCAACGUCUGAUGGCGACAAGAAGGGUAAAGGUCUAACUCCCAGCACACCACCUCAUAAAAGCAUUGGCUCAGUGGGCUCCUGUCACAAGGCAGGAGUGUGCUUCAUGAGCAAGGAGAUGCUACGUGCCUGAGUGAAACUGUGAAGGGGAAGAUACAUUCUAACAUUUAGACCUAUAUUUUAUUUUUAUAUAUAGUCUCCUGACAACAAUGCCUGAACAAGGUGGGAAAAAGGAAAUCAAAGAAUGAGUUCUUUGCAGAUGGCAGAAAAGAGAAGCUUCAGACAUCUGAGUUUAUGCACUCGUGGCCUCAGAAAUGAUCUUUCCCACCAUGCAAGCGUGUGCCAAAUGCUUUAGCAUUCCAAGGAGCUGUAUAAAAACAGCAUCUACGAGGGAGCCUACCUGGAAGGUGUUAAAUAAAGAGAAAUUGAACUUUUCUUUAGCAAGUCCCAGAUCACCAUCCCAGAAAGGGAGGUAACUCUAUGGACAGGAAGGAAAUGUUUUGCUAAGCUUUGCUUUUGCUCCUCAACUAAAGCAACAUCCUCCUGAGCUGGGGAAGAUGCAGAAGGUGAAUUACAAUCAGGACAGAACAAGGCCCUCCACUAAGGCAUGGAAUGCACUCUCAAUAAAAGC